UUUAUUGAGACACUCAAAGUUUGCAACUGAGUCUGCCAUCACAGGAGAUUGGAAAUCAUUCAUUGCUUUAGCAAACAAAAACCAAAAGAAGAUUCACGAUAGCAACAAGAGGAAAACUACUGUCCCGUGCCCAAAUCACACCGGUCCUCAGUAUCAGGCCACAUGCUGGCCACGCGGUCUCGUCGUUUUUUCCUAGCUGCCCAAGCUUAGGAAAUUGAUACACAGCUCACCCCCCCGGGGCGCUUGGGGGAAAAAA